AGUAUAGUAACUAAUUUCAGCCACAAAAAACUGCAGAAGAAGAAGAGAAACUUUUAGUUUGUGAUGAUUUUGGUUCUCCCUGUGGCCAAAAUCAUACAGUUUAUGUAACAGUACAGUGUUUUGGGACAUAAACUCCAUGAUUUGAGCUUGCUCUAAGGCUGAGGUAGGGGGAUAAUUUUUAAUGCAGGCAAUAAAAUUACAGCAACAGUAUUAUCAGCCUUGAUUGUUAGUUUCAGCCUGUUUUUCAGCCAGUUUAAAACUCCUAAAAGUGCCUUUCAUGAAGAGGUAUCACACGAGUGGUUCAGUGCCUUGCUCAAAGGCACCAGGAAGUUAACUAGCAAACCACCUCUCCAGAUGCCAGUCUGAUCACUAUUAUUUUAUUGGUCCAUAACAGGACUUGGACAGUUCCCAGGCCCAGUCCCCCUUACACUGAGCACAUGCUGUGUCUUUCCAACCUGAGAAAUAACGACCUAAAAAUGUUUUUCUGUCUCAAAAGCAUCUGAAAAAGCAUGAUCGUUUACUAUUCCAUGUUCACUAAUUUAAUGUCCGCACGUUUUGAAUGGACCAUGAUACUGACCACUCAAGGCCACAGUGCUAAUGUAAUGCAAAAUGGAGAGACAUGGUGAAAAUAAUAAUAAUCAUCAUCAUCAUCAUCAUCAUUACUUAUUUUAUAGCACUUUUAAAAACAGAAGUUUAAAAACUGCGUUAACAAAUAGUCAUAAAGCACUUAAAUGCUCCAAGGUAGAAUUUCCCAAACUCCAAUGCACUGCAGGACAUUUUACUUUUCAUGGUUUUAAAAUACUGACAUACUUUAUCCAUGAUCAUGUUCACUGGUUCCAUUGAGCUCAAAAACAGAGAAUAUAUCUUAAAUAGGAGUUAACAUGUGUACACUGCAUGCAUCAAAAACCCACAUUUCUACUUCUGCUUCUCUACAAAAAACUGUCUUAUUGACUUAAAGUUCAAAAUACUCUGAGUUUUAUCAGUCUUCAUUGUGUUUUGAUUUAAAAUGGACUAAGAUUUGACUGAAACAGACAUCAAAUAAAUCAAAAGAGGUUCAUACAUAAAUAAUGAGGAUGCAUUUCGCUUAUUUUCCUGUAAAUCUGCAGCUAUAGCUCUGCACGGUUUCACUUUACACUAAUGUUUGGAGAGGGAGAGAGUGUGUGAGUGUCAGACAGAUAGAGAUGUAUGUUGGACUGUUUUUUUUUUCCCUUCCCACACACACUGACAGUCUAAAAGUAGAUGUGAGCAAUGGGGCAGUGAGAUUGACCAAUAAAGCCCACGUACUGUAUCUACCACACACGGCCAGGACAGCAGUGCUGCGCCGAGAGGUCCCUGUGAGGAUUUGUUCUCCAGUAAGGUGGCAGAUUGGUAGGUGAUGGAUGAGAGCAGGGAGUCAGGCCCUUCAAAUGGCCCGUAAGCUGCUCGCAUUGAUUUUUGGUUCCUCGUGAACAGUCUCUGGGGAAAACACAGCUAUCGCCUACAGCGCCUCCAUGUACCUCCAUCAAAAACUGCGCGCCCUCAAAAACACACUCGCCAUGCUGCACAUAGAGUGGGCUACAAGAGUGAGCUGACUGAUAUCGGCUGCUAGAGUAACAGUCGACCUCUUGUGCAGGAACACAAACACUAAAAAGAGUCCCUGGUUACUGAGAAGAAGAGCACUGCCUCAGGAGCCGAAGAAGACUGAAGUAUGAAAGAUUCAGGAGGAUCUUUUACCCUCCUGUGUCGGAUACCAUGGAUACAUGGUGCCAUAUCCUGUCAUAUUCAAUUAGAGUAAGAACUGAAACAUGUUAAUCUUCAUACAGGUUGAACUAUAGGACCUGUCAGUGCUAAAAAAAUCACCAUUUUCUCUAACCAUCAUCAUUGAAAACAUCCUGUUCUGAAUCAAAAAUAUUCAAACAUCUUCAGUAUAGAUUCAGUAAAUGUUAGGCAGAGAAAAUAUGCAUAUUUCUGCAAGAUUAUGAGCUCAAUUCCUCUAAGAUUUGGUUGAAGUCGUACAUCUCAGAAAAUCAAUUUGUGAACAUUUGGUGACAGUCCUUCUGAUGCAGCCUGACAUAUUGCCAUUUGGAAAGUGCCAGUUAGUCCAGAUGGAGAUGCUACUCAGUGUGUCCAACCAUGGUAUGAUUCACUCCAGAGCCACUCGCACACAGUUCACGGGAGGUUUUGGAUGGACUGCUAGCGAGCAUUUAGGAGAGACAGCCAUCUUCCCGUCACUGCCAGCAGGCUACAAGAGGACCACUUCAUGGGAAGUUUAGAUAAGCAGCAAUGGAUAUGUGCAGAAGUAAGAAGACAAAGUCGAGAGAUGUACUUGUAUGUUACUACACCAUGAUGUGUAAAAAAAUAUGUUUCAAGCAAAAUAACGGACCUCACUUUUGUGAUUCAGUCACUCAAAUUAUACCUCAUCAAGGCUAUGAUCUUGCAGAUUUGUCCAAACUAAAACUUAAAAAAACAGAGUUACAAAAAGAAGCAUGAUGUAUGAAAUAAUCUCUUCAACAGUUAUGAGGUUUUAUAAUAAUACUCGGCUGGAUUUCACCCUCUUUCAUUACCAAAUUUGACAACAAAAAAAUCACUUCUGAUUUUGUUCUUAAAAAAGCCACCAUACAGCACGCCAAAGAGACAGGUGGCCGUCUCAUUGUUUUUGGCUUUCUUGUUCUUUAGGCUCCAACAGAAGCGUUGAGCUCAGACUUUGCACCAAAUGCUGGUCAGGAUGUUUUGGUAGAUAAUUCUGCCUCAUAUCUGACAAAUUUUCUGAAGGCAAACCAUAGGUAAAAACUAAAAAAAAAAAAAGUUUGUAGUGGUAUGAAGGGGUCUCUCAAGGGGUGUAAAGGUCCAAACUGUCUCUUCGUGUGAUAAUUUGAGUUGUAAGUCCACAGAAUGUAGUUUCUGUAAAGCUGUGUGGAUCUUUCAAAAACAUUAUGUUUUCAUAAAAGGAGUUUGCAGUCCUACUAUGUUUCAGCCUCUGUAAUAAUCAUACAUUUUCUUCCUUAAGCUGAUAAACUGCGCUGCACUCUGUGAUCGACUCGUCAGGGCUCCCCCACAAACAAGCGGCUGCUGGAAGAGAGUGGGUGAGUUGUGUUUGGUCUCGUUGCUAAAGAAAUCAGGCAAAGCUAAAAAGAUAUUUGAUGUACGUCUGGGACCCUAUAUGUACUGCUGAUGAAGUUAGGUGCUGUUCUGAGCAUUAUUUGUGGCUAUAGAGUGGCUUUUUGGUUGAGGUUUGCGUGUGGAGACAUAGACCGCUGUGUAUUGCUAUCGUGCAGUCGUUACCAAUUAACUUAAAUUUACGUCGAAAUAUCCCUUUAAGGCCACCCCCCAGCACUCUGGAAUCCUCUUUCACUGUUGUCAAUCAACAGAGCCAUACUUUUUUGUUGUUGUUUUAUUAUACAGACAAACAGUACUAUGGUCAUAAAGUUCUGGUUCCAAAAUCUGACUUGGAAAGUUCAAGAAGGGACAAAAGUCCCCAGCAGUAUUAAGCAGAACAGGCUGUUUCUGUGUGUUAAGUAGCUAUGACAUUUUUUUUGUUCUUUUAAGAAGAUUCACCAAUCAGGGAUUUCGCAAUUUAAGCAGAGCCUGUCCUUCUCGCAUGAUUUUUUUAAAUUUGAAAUUUUGCCCACAUUUAGUACUGACACCCUAUGGGGCCACAUUACCUCAUCCUUCAAUAAGACACUGUAAUGUUAAAAAGUAUUUUGUGCAGGUAUUUUGGCUGCACUUAAAUUUAGGAUGUACCUUAUAUUUUACAUGAAAACUAAAUCAUUUGAAGAGCAUCUUCCACACUGAAUAUUGUGUUUACAGUCAGCCACAAUGAAGAUGCAGAAGGUGGAGGUGUGAAGGUCAGGUUUGUAGAUUUUAUGAGCUCUCGAUUUCACCAUUAAACUAGAGUAACAGGGAACCAGGUGUAUGACUCCUUCAGGGCGACUUUUAGACAUUGGACACUGGACAUUGUUAGGUCUACUUUGUGAUAAAUGUAAGUAAAACAGUCAAUGUGUGGAGGGGUUAGAGAGGAGCAGGGAGAACUGGAGGCACAGGGCUGGAGGAGAAAAGGAGGGGUUCAUACAGAGAGCAAGACAAACACUUAAGAAGCUAGUCCAAAAACGCUCAAUCCUUUUUAAAUCCCAACCUUUAAUCAAGUGUUUUGAUUUCCCCAGCUCUGUCGAGGUUCAAGUUGAGGGGGAUAUACUAUUAAUACAACUGUGAUGGACUUUUAUAUAACAAUAUGUUGAUCCUUUA